UAUUAUUAUUAUUAUUAUUAAUAUUUUUAUUAUUGUAUUAUUAUCAUUAUUAUUAUUAUUAUUAUUACUAUCAUUAUCAUUUCCGGUCUGUGCAAGUUCGCAGAUUAAUAUAAUGUACGUAAUUGAUUCGUCGAAAUUUAUGAAAGUAAGGGUCAAAGGAUAGAAAAAUAAUAAUUGCUUCCAAUUUACGUGGCCAAACGAUCAUCGUUAUUACAAAAAUUCCAUUACGCAUUUACACGACAUCAUUCGUAUUUGUACAAUACUAUAAUAGUCUCGUAAUUAUUGGUCGUAUGAGUUUCAUCACUACUACUACUAUUAUUAUUAUUAUUAUUAUUAUUAUCAUUAUUAUUAUAUGCUGUUACGAUUGUUUGAAAAAAUUUUUUUUUUUAUCAUCAUUACAGUCAUCAUGUGCUAUAUAGGAUAUUAAUCGUUGAAGUUUAUAAUCACGUUUUGGCCAGAUAUUAUUACUAUUAUUAUUAUUACUAUUAUUAUUAUUAUACCUAAAUGUAAUAACAAUAGGAUUUAGAGAGUAAAAGAAUAAUUUUAGAGUAUCGAACAUACGUACACGAAUAGUGACUGGAGUCUUUGGCCUGUUGUUGCUUAACAAUUAACCAUCCAUCUGUCGAAUAAUCGAUGCUAUACAUACAUAUACGUGCAUAUAAUUAAUGAUGAUAUUUAUAUGUAUAUAUGUAUACAUAUGGAAAAGUGACACGUAUCAAGGCAACAAAAAAAAAAUAUAUUAUAUCAAUUAUAUUUAUGAUAAUAAUAUGAUAUAAAUUCUUUCGUCUUUAUUUCGUCUUUCCUUCAUUUCGUAUUUUCGGUUUAGUAUUGAUUUUUCGUUAUCUUGGUUCGGCAUCCCGUUAAUUUCAAUUCGUCGACGCAUUGCAGCGGAGUACCAAACACGCAUUUAAAAUUAGUUGAUAAGUAGUUGUUAUUUGUGUAUAAAACGUGAAAACCGCGAUGGAUCGAUAAAUCGAAGUGUGGAAAUUCAGGAAUAUGCCAAACAUUCGGCAAUCGAGAUUCAAAGAGACUCGCAUUACGGUUUGCGUCGUAGUUAGGAACAUCGAAAUCUUCGACAUGAAAGUACGUAUGCUUUUGAUUUGAUCCCUUUGAAAUGUUUUUUCUUGGAUUCGAUAAAAUUUACAAU